GCCUUCGUGGCGUAGUGGUCUGAAUGCUCGACGCGUAACCGAGAGGUCCGUGGUUCGAUUCCCGGCGAAGGCA
rnacentral:tRNA from 1 species